ACGGCGGCAGCGUCACCUUGGGCACGACAAUGGCCGGCAUCGGCGCCAUCGUCACCUGUGGCACCGUGGGGAGGGUGACCUUGGCCAUUGUCGUGCCCAAGGUGACGCUGCCGCCGUUGCCAUUCGUCCCGAGUGUGAAUGUGCCCAUGCCGUUCGCGGCGCCGCCCCCUUCAGCGUAGGCGCGCCCACGCGGCGAUGCUCUCGCCAUGUCCAGGACAGGGUGCUGUUCAUGUGAGAGUGGCGCCAGGUCACUCCGUGGACACGACGCACAUUUUAUUUCAUGCAUAUACGAUGUAUCAGCAAUUCUUGCCUUUUUUCUAAGACUCCGUACUAUAUACUGGUACUAUUUGACUGUUGAGGGCCGGUUUUGUCCCACUCUGUAUUUCUUGAUCUUCUUAAAUAUACAUUACUAUUUACGCUUUACUAUUCCCGCAAAAAAUACACAUUAGUACUAUUUACGCUUUUAUAUAACUCUAACAGCGAUGGUAAAAUUUUCUCUUUCCUCUUAUAUUUACGCUGUACUAAUUUUCCCAUGAUGUUUCUAUUUACGUUGUACUAUUCCUGCAAACCGAGCGCAAGGCAUGGCCAGCCGGCCACGCUCACUUCUUGUACUCUGUGGUCGUGGCCACUACAUCCGGGCACAUAAGUACACGGUCGAAGAUGAGAUGCGUAAAAGGGAUGCUGCUUCGGUGCCGUAACUGCACGUGUCUUUGUCCGAGUAAAAGAGGAUGGUGAUCCAAAUAGGUUAUGUUUUGUGUUGAGGUACAUGUUCUUCAAUUAACGGAUUUUUUGGCCUUUUGGAAAACUGGAUCGUACACAAAUAAAAAUCACGUAUAAUUAAAUAUGGUUCUUACACCCUACUCCUUCCAUUUCUAAAUAUAUGGCAUUUUGGUAGUUGAAAUUAAACCUCCAAAACGUCAUAUAUUUAGGAAGAGUUCCAUAAAGAAAUGAUUGUAACUGAUUUUUUGGCCUUUUGAAAAACUUGAUCGUAUACUAAUAAAAACCACGUAUAAGAAAAUAUGGUUCUUACAAUCUACUUAUUCAAACAAUCCCUAAAAAAGGAUUGUAACAGGAUUUCUGGCCUUUUGGAAAGCUUGUCAUACGUAAAUAAAAAAUAUGUACAGAAAAUAUGGCUCUUACGAUCUACUUAUUCAAACAAUUCCUAAAGAAAAUAUUGAGGGGUCGAUAAAGCAUUAGAAAUGGAUUUCACGGGAUGUUUUGCUCCAUAAGAUGAGGUCCCAAGGGAGAUUACUCCUGACAUAAGAGCAACUUUAGCAGACCCCGCAUUCCGCUGGCCCGUAAAACGCGUUUGCAGUUCGCGUAAAACCACUUUUACGACCGGCACGAGCUGGCACACAUGCAGACCCCUCAAAUGAAGCCAUAAAAAAAAUAUUCACGGAAUAUGCUUUUUUACGGGUCGGCUUCUGCGGGUUCUGUUCGGGCUCCACCGCGACGACCCGCAAACAGAAAACUGCAAAUCUCGCAUUUGACAUAGGGUUUGGCAAACAAGUUCAAAUUCAAACAAAAUAAACAGUUUACGCGUAAAUAAAAGUGAAGUUCAUUACGCAAAAGAGGACAUGCAAAGGUUUGCGUCCAUGUCCGGCAUCAUCUUGGGGGCGAUCUUCACUCCGCGCCAUGGAGUUCAUAUUGAAGUUUAUCGGCGCCACCGAAUUCACAUCCGUCGCUUGUUCCAACUCCCGCACCGAAACCAUCCACAUUGGUACCAUAUGAAGCAGAGAAAACAUCACCGGAACUGGAACACGGACUGGUCGAGGCGACCAUUCUCCUCUUCAAGAUCUCUCUCCUUGCCAUAUCAUGCCAUGUUUUGGUGAGGUCGGCCAUGUCAUUGCGAUUCAUUGACAUGGUCUUGUUCUCCUCGGCGAGCAACAAUGACAUCGAUUUGGUUUCAGAGGCGCGUGCUUUUCUCUCCUCAAUGGCAGCUUUGCGGAGCCCCUCUUCCUUGAGCAUUUGCCAUUUUUCUUGCUUCUCUUUUGCCUUCUUCUCGGCUAACUCUUUCUUGAUCUCCAACGACUUCAACAACAUCAACUCGUUUGAUUGCACCAUGGCAUCAAUCUUCUCCCUCAAGCUCGCUGCUUCUUGCUCUCUCUUCAUCUUCUCUUUAGUCUUCUUGUCGUCAUCAGACUUGUGCAAAUUUCUUGGGCCAUCAUCAUCCUCAUCUUCAUCCAUGUUUAUAAGUGAGCCUCUCUUUGGUGGGGAUUCUCUAUCGUCAACUUCCACUUGUCGCACUUUUGGAGCAACUCCCAGCAAUGCUCUAAUUUAAAGAAUUUGCCUUCCAAAGCUUCCAUGUCCUUGUAUCUAUGUUGAGCAAUCUUGUCCUACAAAAUAUGAACAAAGUGAUGCAAUCAUUUCCCAUGAUACAUUAUGAUGAUGCACAAAUUGAACAAAGGAAAAAAACAAACUCACAUAGUCGGACACCACGGUGCCACUUGGAGGUGCAUUGCGUACUUGCUCCAAGCAAGCUGCCCAACGGCUGCACAUAGGUUUGAUAUUCUCCCAACGCCCUUGAAGUGACCGAAAUGUGUGUGCAGUCCAAUUAGGAUACUUUUUCGUAAUGCGGAAGUAUUGAUCUUCGAUCCUUUGUCAAUAUCUCUUCGCGGUUUGAGAAACACCUGUGCAUGCAUCAAAAGACACCGCACUCCAUGCUUGGAUCAAAGCUUGAUUUUCCAAGAUCGUGUAGUUCUUCGAUCUUUGGCUUUUCCCGCCCUUUGCUUGCGAUUGCUCAAACGCUUCCGCUUCGAUCUCCUCCAAUUCGUCCGCAGUACCAUGAUCAUCCACGCCGCCGUCCAUUUCAUUGUAGUUGAAUGGUUUGAAAGACACUUGAUCAAUGUCAACCGCGUUAUAGUCCAACAUGUUCAUGAACUCGGUUGUUGCAUUGUUCGAACCACUGAUGCUCCAUUUUGCAUCAUGCUUUCAUGUUGAUAUUUAUCGCUUUACGAACUGUUAUAUUACUUUGUGCUACCAUACUUAUGCCUUUUCUCUUUUAUUUUGCAAGGUUUAUUUGAAGAGGGAGAAUACCGGCAGCUGGAAUUCUGGACUGGAAAAGGAGCAAGUCUGAGUCCUCUAUUCUACGUAACUCCAAAUACCCUGAAAAUCAACGUGGAAUUUUUUGGGAAUAUAUAAAAAAUACUGGGCGAAAGAAGUGCCAGAGGGGAGCUACCAGGAGCCCACAAGCCUGGUAGCCGCCACCUACCACCCUGGCGGCGGCUACAGGGCUUGUGGGCACCCUGGCGGCCCACUAGCCCCCCUCUUUUUCUAUAUGAAGGGUUUCGUCCGAGAAAAAUAUGAAGGUGGAGCUUUUUCAUGGAUUAUCCGCUGCCACGAGGCGGAACUUGAGCAGAAGCAAUCUAGAGCUCCGGCAGGACGAUCCUGCCGGGAAAACUUCCCUCCCGGAGGGGGAAAUCGUCGUCAUCGUCAUCACCAACACUCCUCUCGUCGGAGGGGAGUCAUCUCCAUCAACAUCUUCAUCAGCACCAUCUCCUCUCCAAACCCUAGUUCAUCUCUUGUAACCAAUCUCCGUCUCGCGACUCCGAUUGGUACUUGUAAGGUUGCUAGUAGUAUUGAUUACUCUUUGUAGUUGAUGCUAGUUGGAUUACUUGGUGGAAGAGUUUAUGUUCAGAUCCUUGAUGCUACUCAUUACACCUCUGAUCAUGAUUAUGAUUAUGCUUUGUGAGUAGUUACUUUUGUUCCUGAGGACAUGGGAUAAGUCAUGCUGAUAAUAGUCAUGUGAAUUUGGUUUCGGUCGGUAUUUUGAUAUGUUGUAUGUUGUAUUUUCCUCUAGUGGUGUUAUGUGAACGUCGACUACAUAACACUUCACCAUCUUUGGGCCUAGAGGAAGGCAUUGGGGAGUAUUAAGUAGAUGAUGGGUUGCUAGAGUGACAGAAGCUUAAACCCCAGUCUAUGCGUUGCUUCGUAAGGGGCUGAUUUGGAUCCACUAGUUUAAUGCUAUGGUUAGACGUUGUCUUAAUUCUUCUUUCGUAGUUGCAGAUGCUUGCGAGAGGGGUUAAUCAUAAGUGGGAUGCUUGUCCAAGUAAGGGCAGUACCCAAGCGCCGGUCCACCCACAUAUCAAACUAUCAAAAUAACGAAUGCGAAUCACAUGAACAUGAUGAAACUAGCAUGACAGAAAUUUCCGUGUGUCCUCGGAAACAUUUUUCCUCCUAUAAGACUUUGUUCAGGCUUGUCCCUUGCUACAAAAAGGAUUGGGCCACUUUGCUGCACCGUUGCUACUCUUGUUACUUGUUACUUUUCACUUGCUACGUUUCACCUCACUACACCAUCACUUGUUACCGCUACUUUCAGCGCUUGCAGUUAUUACCUUGCUGAAAACCGUUUAUCAGAGCCUUUCGCUCCUCGUUGGGUUCGACACUCUUACUUAUCGAAAGGACUACGAUUGGUCCCAUAUAUUUGUGGGUCAUCAACCACCGCUAUAGCGAACGAUAACAAGUCACGAGCUAUCAAGACUAAUGACGAAAAAUGAACAGGAAUCGCCAAGACCAAAGAGGCAUACCUUCCGGCCAUUUCGUCGAACACCUCGGCCGCGGGGGGAGCGGAAUCGUUCAACGGCUUCGCCGGAGCAGCUCCUUGCGGAGGGAUGAAGUCAGAGGUUGAAUAAGGUGGCUUCAUUAAAGCCGGAACCUUCCUCCGCUUUACGGACGCGACCUUGCCGGCCUUCUGCGCCGCCGGCCGGGAUCGCACUGCGGCGUUGACGCCCGGAGCGCGGGCCGUCGCGGCGGGGGCAACCGGAUUCCCGCCCUGCACGACCACGGUGCCCUGCCUCUUUCGGGAAGGCGCGGCGUGUGCUUGGGCGACGGCGACGGGGGCAACAUGGCCGAGGAACGGCCGGGGAGGAGGAACGUGAGCUUGCGGAGGGGGGGCAAUGAUGGCGGAGGGUGCGGGGAGCGGGGAAAGGGCACGCGGAAAUGUCCCUCCCACCAAAUCUCGCGCCGGAUAAGGGUUCAGCUUGGGUCGGCCUCCCAAUCCGUGAAGAUGGAGGUUGGGGAACAAGAUUUGCCACGUCCCGCAAAAAAUAAUGCGGAUUGGCGCGGGAUGCGGGGUCUGAUCGUGUGGAUUUUCCGGCUCCAACCCGCAAUUUGACGGUUAUUUUACGGAUCGGAGCGGAAUCCGUGGUCUCCUAGAGUUGCUCUUAGCAUUAAUCUUGACAACGGCCUCAUGCGACGGGCUAGACGAGUCAUGACCGUACGUGAUUGCCGGUCGGCCAUUGUGCAGGUACAUGCGGCGGUUCAUGCAUGGUUGUUGGUUGGUGGCUCGGUCAAGUCCGAGUUUCCAGCGGAAGAUAAGGUCAGUGAGCAGUGCGUGCGUGCGUGGUGGCCUCGUAGCUGGUUAGGUGUGCGUUUGAGCGCGUCGUGCGCCCGGCAUGCUAGUGGCGCCGAGUAUUGUGGCUGGGAAAACCAGACAUACAGAUUGGUCCACGAACAUUUAAGGGUCACCAAAGGAUGGCCCUUACUCAUCAAAUUGGCAGUUGGCGGUUUCAAAGGUCAAUAAUGUUUUUCUUAGAGACUCAAAGCCGAGUCGGUUUGCACUAAUUGUCAGUAUAGAUUUAAAAUCCCAAUAAGUUUGCAUGCUCUUCCAAUCAUUUUCUCAAAACACAAAAAAAUUAAAAUCUAAGUGGAAAAGAACCACAUGGAUUUAGCAAAUAUGCCUACUAGUGAACAUCUUGACCUCACCAAGGAGGACAAAUCGGUUUAUCAAAAACUUUAUCGAUCAUUAAUAUGUUCAUUCCUAUAUCUAUGUGCCUCUCGUCCCGAUAUCAUUCUUAGUGUGUGCAUGUGUUCCCGAUGUCAGGUGGCACCUAAAGAGUGUCAUCUUAAGGCUGUGAAAAGAAUUGUGAGAUACUUAAUACAUACACCAAACUUUGGCAUUUGGUAUCCCAGGAGAUCUUCUUUAUCUUAUGGAUUAUUCCGACUCGGACUAUGCUCGAGAUAAGGUUAAUAGAAAAUCCACCUCGGGUGCUUGUUAAUUUCUUGGGAGAUCUCUUGUAUCUUGGUCAUCCAAGAAACAAAACUCAUUAUUUCUAUCUACCGCCGAAGCGGAAUACAUUGCCGUCGGAUCAUGUUAUGCGCAAUUGCUAUGGAUGACUCAAACUAUUAAAGACCAUGGAAUACAUGUGAGACAUGUUCCAUUGCUUUGUGACAAUGAGAGUGCUAUUAAUAUUUCUCAUAAUCCCAUGCAACAGUUUUGAACUAAAAAUAUACAAGUUCAUCAUCAUUUCAUUCUUGGUCAUGUUGCCAAAGGGGAAAUUAAUCUCAAACAUAUUUGUACUAAAACAAUUGGCGGAUAUCUUUACUAAGCCACAUGAUGAGAAAGUAUUUUGUCACUUGAGGAGUGAUUUGAACAUCAUUGAUGCUUUAAACUUGAGCUAGACUCACUCGGAUGCAUGCAAGGGCAUGAGCUUAUUCUUACCAUUCCAUGACACCAUUGAUAUGACAUUAUCAUAUGCCUUAGAAAUCACAAGCAAUCCUGUUAUGACCAAGAAUUAACAACCCUAUUUCAAGAUGGAGGAAGAAGACAACAGAAACUAUAUCCUUGACAAACAUUUGAAGAAAACCUCACUCUUGUCAUUUGGAUGUAUCACGUUCUUCCUUGCAUGACUAACCCGUGUAGGUGAGAAAAAACGAAAACAAACAAGGAUUGCUCCCAACUCAAGAUGAUCUUCAUCAACCUUGAGCAUCCACAAUAAGUUCACCUACAUGCCAAGUCAUCUAUAUAUUUUGAAAUUAUAUACUCAUAUCCUUGCAGAAGCAUUACUACAACUCAUGAGUCAAAGCAAUUCUAAGUGAUAUGAAGAUAUUGAAAUGCUUAAACAAAAAAUGGCAACCCCAUUUUGAGCUUAACGAUGAGUAUGACCUAUGAUCAAGCAUUCUUGCUUGGCUCCUUAAAUUAAUAUACUUUAAUAUAGGUGACCUAGUCACCACCCAACAUCUAGAUAUGAGACUUGAAUGGAUAAUUUCUCUUGUGUUUUGCACUUAAUUGCUUCCGUUCAAUUCUAACCUAGGUGAAUAUUCCUUGCAAAUCAUUUGAAAAGACCUUGCAAUUCUUUAAAACAUUAUUUGCAAAGCUUCUGGAAAAAGGAAAAAUUCUGACAAAUUUGGUCAAAUCUCUCUGAAAAGUUUCUUUCGACAACAUGACCAAGAAUGUUUUUACCAAGUUUUACUUUGCAACUGGAUCCUCCGAAUCAGGGAAAUCGGUUUCACCGAUGAAGCAAAUAAACUGCUCAAAGCCUCUUCGGUACUGCCGACAUGGAACACUUCGGCUAUAAGGAUUUAACCCUCAUCUCCAAGAUCAUUAUUGGUUUUACCGAUCAAUUUUGCCUCGGAGUCUCCGACUUUUGUUACUACUUGAGUUCUUUGGGAUAUUCUUGACAUUUUUUAGACAAAGUUCUUUGUGACCCUUACUCUCAAGGAUCCCUUACCCUCUGAUCAUCCUUGGAAAUUAAUGAGAAAGGGGCAGAAAGAUCAAAGCCUCAAUUCAAAGCUUCAGGGGAGAAUCUCAAAGCUCAAAGCUAAUCAUUAAGGGGGAGAGAUCAACGCAUUUCAGUAUUCUUAAAAGGAGAGAGAUAAAAGAUUAAGUAAUCUGGAUUCAUGUUUUUUUGCAUUGCGAUAUCCUUCUUGCUAGAGUUGUCUCACCCUACCUACUCCCAAUAUCUACAUGCUAAGAUUGAGGGGGGAGAGGAGAAACUAAAAUCUACCUUCAUGGGAGAAAGCUAUAAAAUCACUUUUGGGUACAUGUUUACUUUGAGAGAAUACUAUCUUCUACAUGUCUUCCAAACCUUGGUGAAAUUAAAGUUCCUUGCAUCUUAAUGAAGGAAAUAUUCUUGUGUUAUCUAACCUUAUUUUCUCAAGUAUGUUUCCUUAGUAGAAAUGCUCCAUAACUUCAAGGUAAGUAUAUGCAUCAUACCCUUGGUCGGGACAACCUCUUGCUUCUUGCACAUAUUGUUUUGCAAGAAUGAGUCAUGAACAUGGAAAUUUUUCAUUCUCAUUUAUCUGAUGCAUAUGGCCAAGGAACAUCUGACAUGUCAUGUCUUCUCUACUAUGUGUGUGGACUCAUACAUUAAAAUCAAUUAUUCCUUAAAAUGGAUUGCACACAUUCAAGGGGACUUUGUCUUAGUCAUAUGUUUCUAAAAGCUCUCAUAUUCCACUUCUUACUUUAAAUUGAAGCUUUGAUUGUAUGUUUUCAUUAAUUACCAAAAAGGGGGAGAUUCAAAGCACAUAUGCCCCCCCCUUCAAGGUUUUGAUACUUCUUGACAACAUACAUUGUCUCUUGGACAAAUGGUUUUACCUAGUGUUUAAGAUUAAGUCCAAAAAGAUUGUUGUGGCUGGGCAUGUGAGGAGAACCCCAAGGAAGAAUAGGAAUAGGAUUGGCUAAGACUCAAGUCUCAAGACCUUACAUUUUGCAUUUUUGUGAGAAAUCACACUUCAACCCAUAUAUACGAAAGCCAAUAUUAUUAAACGGGGAUAAGGUAUCUAUGAUGAUGUGGUUGCUCAAGUUCUUAGAGAUUAGUCACCAAAAACCAUCAUGAAUUCUCCCACGAUAUAUGUCAAAAUCCCAAAAGACAAAUUCAGUGCCACCAACUUUCCACAUUCGGUCAUACUGAGUUUUCCUUAGAUAGAUCCUAGAGCCAAACCCUAGCACCUCGGUACUACCAAGUCCAAUCUUGGUAAAGCCGAAAUCCAGUGACCAACUCUCUGGUAACCAUUUGUUAAAAAUCAAAAUUUCUAAGUUUUUACAAAUCGGUGCCGCCGAGUCAAUGAAACUGCCUAUGCCAACCGAAUUGGUCUCACCGAGAUGCUUUGUAUUGGUCUCACCGAAAAGCCAAAAACUAUAGCCUUUUGCACUAGUCGAUGUAACCGAUUUUUUACUUCAGCUCCACCGAGUUAGGUAAUAACAUUGUAACGGUUGGAUUUUUGGAGAUGCAUAUAUAUACCCCUUCACCUCCCUCUCAUUCAUAGAGAGAGCACUCCGAACAAGACAACACUUUCCCCAUUCAUUAUUUUAAAGAGAACCACCUACUCAUGUGUUGGGAUCAUGAUCUUCCGCUCCAACCAUAUAAAUCUUGAUUUCUAGCCUCCCCAGGUUGCUUUCCAUCCAAUCAAUCUCUUCUACCAAGCCAAAUAUGUGAGCGAGUGAUUGAGUGUCGAGGAGACUAUCUUUUGAAGCACAAGAGCAAGGAGUUAAUCAUCCAUACCACAUCUAUUACCUUUUGGAAAGUGGUGUCUCCUAGAUUGGUUAGGUGUUGCUUAGGAGCCUCCAAUUCAUGUGGAGUUGAACCAAAAAUAUUGUAAGGGAAAGAAGAUCGCAUACUUAAUGAAGAUGUAUCCCUUGUGAGGCUAGUCCUUUGUGGACGUAAGCCAUGGUAGAAUAGACAAGGUUGCUUCUUCGUGGACCCUUCGUGGGUGGAGCCCUUCGGGGACUCGUGCAGUCAUUACCCUCCGUGGGUUGAAUUCUUCAUCAACGGGGACGUACGAUAGUACCACCUAUCGGAACCACGGGAAAAAUCUUUGAGUCCCUAUUGCGUUUGAUCUUCCUAUCUAUAUUAUUACUUACAUGUGUGUGUCUUUAUUUUCUUCUACUGUACUCGUAGGUUUGCAUGUGUAGGAUGUGCUAGACUUGCUAGAACUUGCCAACCAAUAGAAUUGGGGAAAGGUUAGGUUUUUAUUUGCUCAAGUAGUCUAUUCAUCCCUUCCUCCUCUAGACACCUCUUCUCGAUCCCACGAUACAAUCAUGUCAACAAUGGUCACACCAUAGUCAAGAUGAAGGUGCACGCAUGAGUUCAGGCUCUCGCUCCUCUGAUUACUCUACAUACCAAGAAAAAAGGCACAUGACAAAUAUGAUGCAGCCCAAAGCUUCUUCUUACUGUACAUCCUAUGGAGCCAUAUUUUUGGUUUCUUCCUCUGCCAUUUACGCACAAAAGCUGCCAUGUCUCCUAAGAAAUUGUAUAAGUAGUGGCGUAGUACAGUAGUGACCUGGAUUCCUUCAACGACUUGUGGUAUUGGUGUUUGUGCAUAUUAUUUUCAAUAUACCAUUAAUAUAGACGAUGCCACGUGUCACGGAGCACCUUCCUAAUAGCCCCUAUCAUCGCUACAUCUCCGUCAGCAAUUACGAACCGGGGCUUCUUCUGACAGUGAGUUUUCUAAAACGUCUCAAGCAACCAAACAUAUGUACCUUUAGUCUCAUCUCAAACAAUGGUGCAUGCAAAUACCAUAGUGCAACGAUGAUUGUUGAUACCGGCGAAUUGGAUAAACAGCAUUCCAUACCUAUUUAUCUUGUACGUACUAUCAAAAAUAGUGACAUCACCAUAGCCAAGAUAAUCAUGAUGUGAUUGCGAAUCACCCCAGAACAAGUUGUUCAGCCUGCCUUCAGCGUCAACAGUGUGGUCAAAGAAAAAAUCUGGAUCCCCCUAUCAUUUCUAGUCACCAUGAUUCCUAUAGCAGUGUCAGCAUCAUCCUAUGCAAGUAGUUUCAUCUUCUCAGUGUAGCACAUAUUAUACAUCUUCCUGCUUUUAAACCAUGUCUUACCGUAUGGCCCAUACCUGCUGACGAAGUAAUAAAAAAUAAUGUGUUUAUCCCAACUGCUACCAUUGCUGAUAUCUCUGCUCUCUUAAAUUCUUUGAUCACAUUGUGAAACCAGAGAAAAUGGACUUCGUCUAGUCUUGCAAGAACAUGGUUGUGAUUAUCAAAGAAACUAUUGACAUACCAAUGUUCAUGCUUUUUAUCAAGCUUCAUUCUUAAAUGGGCUUCACAGUAGCAUCGGCUCUCCGAUCUAAGUUUGCGGGUCUGGCCUUCCAUGUUACAAAAUUUGGCAUGCCGUUUUCCUACCCUCGAACACAGAUACCUUCUCAAGCGCAAACUUCCCGUAGGACCUUUUCCAUAUUUCUUCAAGUCCCUCUUGAUGUUGAACCCACGUUCUUUCGCGUACUAGUUGUGGAAUAUGUACGCCUUCCCUUCUGACCUGAACGUCAUGGCCAUCACUUGUCAAUGCCUAUCCAAUGAUUCUUGUUGAUAUUCAUCAUAGCCGAUUUCAAGGUCAAACUCAAGAUCGUCGUCGUGCUCAUCGUUCCCGCUGGGACCAUCAACACCCUCCAGCAAAAUAAAACAUAUAACCAUGUUCAUCAGUCUUUUUUAUGUUGUUAGUUUCCAUGAAUAAUUUGAAAAAAAAAGAAGUGUUUGAAAAACUUGCUUGCCUCACGCUUCCUUCAUAAGAUGCAUCGACGUCGCACUCAUCACUGUCAUCAUCUAAAGUUCUCGGUUCACUGCCACCAUCACCAUUUAUCUGUGCAGAUUUAUAGUAAAAUAUGUAAGUGGUAAUGUAAUUUUCAUGCCAAUCAUUGUCCAAAAAAAAUUAAACGUUGUUAGGUCGCACUUUCAGCAUAAGAAUGUUCAUCUAUAUCGUAAUUAUCAUUGUCAUCAUUGGCAUGUACCUGUAUAAAUUCGAUAAGACGUGUAAGUGUCAAUACACUAGUUUGUAUUCGGUGCUUUGUGGUCAACGUUCAUGACACAUACAGUACCACUAUAUGAUUCAUCCUGAUUCAUAUAGUUGUCUUCGGGCAGUUCGUUUGCAUUCGAUGAUGAGGAUCCAUCCUCACCACAAGAGUCAUCACUGGCAUAUUCGGUUUCUCCCUCCAUCAAUACACCUUAAAAAAGUGUAAGAUCAAUGCCAACAUCCCACAACAUCAUAGCGGAUAUAGUGAGUUCAUCAACAAGCGCAUGGCUAGGGGUCAUUCAUAAUGAAAUGCUUAACUAAUUUUAAUGUAGAAAAAAUGUACGCGCAUUUUUAUGUUAAGAGCAAUUUAUUUUUAUAUAGAAAUAUUAAUGAAAAAAAGGAAAAAAAACAUAUUGUCCGUCGUCGACGAGUCAUCGCCAGGGUUUGAUUUCGAUGCGUCGGUGGCUACCGCGUUGUCCAUGGCGCGUCGGAGGAUAGAAACGUCGACACGGUAGAACUGGGCGAGCAGGGUGCCAGUAGUCAUGGCGGGCAAGGCGUCGACGCGUUGUUGAGGGCCGAUGUCGUGACGGUGGUGGGACGCGUGUUCGGGUUGAGACAACAGCGCGACCAGUGUUGGUGUUGAUGGUCACGGCGUGCAAGACGUCGAUGCAUUGGUGAGGGUCGACGUCGUGACGGUAGGCGGAGACGACGACACGACUUGAUUCAUCCCUUGGAGUCACGACGGUAACUGGAGAGGCUAGGGUUAGUUCAGCGGGGGUGACAUGUUGUUGUUUUUUUAACCGACCAUCAACGCGUCAAUCGUGUAUGUGGGCGGACGUAAGUGGGAGGGCCGUAGAUGGCCAGGCGGACAUACGACGGGAGGCGGGUAAGCUUUACACUUGGUGUAAAGAUAAUAUUGUCCUUAUUAAGGACAGUAAAACUGCACCUAAUCCCUGCCCUCUCACGCAUUUAGGAUUUUUUGUCGUCCAUUUUCUGAUCUGAGCCUUUUCUGGUCGUUGGAUCUUCUCUCCAUUAACUACUGGGCCAACUGUCCUAUGGGCUGCUGCUCCGGUGGCUGAAACUGAGCAUUGUGGUAAACUGGGCCUGUUAUGCAGCUCAACAGAGUUCCUCCCCGCGAGUCUACACCACCCCACUCGGUCGGUAACCCUCUUCCAGAAACAGAUUCGCUCAAGACACAGGUCCUGCGCUGCCGCCGGCACUUUCUCUCGCAGUCCUUCGCGACGUUGGCCCCGACUAGCCCUAUCCAUAACGACAUCUCGGUCUCCGCCCAGACGCCGAUGUCCACUUUCUCCUUUAUUUCCCCCGAAGUUGCAGCAGGGAGGUGCUCAGCCUCUAAGCCUCACGGCGGCAAUGAGAUCCACUCUCAGACCGGCGUAUUCACGACAGCGAGGGGUGAUCAGUAGCGACGACCUACGAUUGUCCCUGCAAGCACAACUCGGCAAGGGAAAACAAGGCGUACUUCCACAUGGCUUUCGCCUGUACAUAUUUCUUCCUUUUCUUGGAAGUAGUUGUUCUAUGCACGAGAGACUUUCUGCUCGAGGCAUUAAUGUGCAGUCCACUACAGCCCAGCUGCAAGGUCACAUGGAGGAGACGGCGAGGUGGCGUUGUGGUCCAACAGCCAGGCAGUCGGUAGCACGGCGAUCCGGCGAUAGGCAACCCAGGCCCUCUCACGCAUUUAGGAUUUCUGGCCGUCCAUUUUCUGAUCUGAGCCUUUUCUGGUCGUUGGAUCUUCUCUCCAUUAACUACUGGGCCAACUGUCCUAUGGGCUGCUGCUCCGGUGGCUGAAACUGAGCAUUGUGGUAAACUGGGCCUGUUAUGCAGCCCAACACAGUUCCUCCCCGUGAGUCUACACCACCCCACUCGGUCGGUAACCCUCUUCCAGAAACAGAUUCGCUCGAGACACAGGUCCUGCGCCGCCGCCGGCACUUUCUCUCGCAGUCCUUCACGGCGUUGACCCCGACUAGCCCUAUCCAUAAUGACAUCUCGGUCUCCGCCCAGACGCCGAUGUCCACUUUCUCCUUUAUUUCCCCUAAAGUUGCAGCAGGGAGGUGCUCAGCCUCUAAGCCUCAUUGCGGCGAUGAGAUCCACUCUCAGACCGGCGUAUUCACGACAGCAAGGGGUGAUCAGUAGUGAUGACCUAUGAUUGUCCCUACAAGCACAACUCGGCAAGGGCAAACAAGGCGUACUUCCACAUGGCUUUCGCCGGUACAUAUUUCUUUCUUUUCUUGGAAAUAGUUGUUCUAUGCACGAGAGACUUUCUGCUCGAGGCAUUAAUGCGCAGUCCACUGCAGCCCAGCUGCAAGGUCACAUGAAGGAGACGGCGAGGUGGCGUUGUGGUCCAGCAGCCAGGCAGACGGUAGCACGGCGAUGCGGCGAUAGGCAACCCAGGCAACGAGCACAACUGGCCGCACAGGCGCUGUAAACAAGUAAUUAUUUACCAAUCAUAAUUGUUUAAUUGUUCUUCACGACUUGGCAUCAUAUUAUAUUCACAAUAGUAUUUUUUAUAGACUAUAGAAAUCCGAAACUCAUAGUUACCCCGACUGAAUGCAAUUUGGUAACAUGAAUUAUUAAGUCAAUUGUUGUUUGCAAGUUUACACAUUGUAACUUAGAUACUACAUACCUGGCUAUGGGCAAGGCCCGUUAGCGAAUAAUUUAUUUGGUUUAGCAAGUGAAUAAUUAAGAUGAUUUUUCAAAAUACUGAGUACAGUAGUAACUAAUGUCUAUCAAAAUAUAAUUAAGAAAAAUGUGCUCUUCUUUACGUUGGCCCGUCCAACCAUUUCUAUGUAGCUCCGCUACUGGUCAUAGCAGUGGUUGGCUUACAAGUUACAUGGUGUUGUUCUCCUGUCUUUAAUGAUAUACAAGUUCAUCGUUCUUUAUUCUUUUAUUAAGAGUGUUUUUUCAGACUAAUAAGCUCCCUUUAAAUAAACUGGUUGCGCAGCAUAAUUGAUUUUCCAAAUCCAAACAUGCAUAUCUUUAAAUGGAUUUCGAAAGCCGAUGUUGUGCCAAAAUUUCUAAAAGCUAGCUUCUCUGUCAAAAAAAUGUUGAGCAUCUGAACAAGCUCGAUCUUUAAUAGGUAAGUAUGUGUUGGAUUGUCGGUGCAUAUUAUUGCAAUCCAUACUUUACUUGACCCUAUCUAUGAACCUUAUAUAAUUUGACUAGCACACACUGUAUCUGUACCUCAUACCUUAAACUCAAUGUAUUAUAUAUCCAUUAAAGAAAUCAUCUCACAAAUUUGUACCAUCUAUAGAGCUCAAAGUACAAGAUGAACUAUAACAGAUGGUGUGCACAACCCGAACGUUGGUGCUGCUACAUAACAGAGGUGAUUCAAUUAUAGAGUGCAGGUGGACACGUUCCUUUCCACGGAUCUUACCACUGUAUGCUCUUAUAUUUCAUUUAUUUUUUGCAUGUAAACUUAAAAGCAGAUGACUCAUUCCGAACUAAAAGGAUUUAGGGCCUCAAACAUCAAUUAGUUUGUUAUGAAAAUCUACAAAUUGGUCUCAUUUCCAUGCAGUUUCUUCAGAUUCGGUUUAUUCUUUUUCGAGAUCACCAACCAUGACCAGGUAUGUUCAUAUACGAGUUGUGAGCAGUUUAACACACGUAGAACGUUAUCUCAUAUCAUUCGUGUGACAAGAAGCUUAUCAGAUUGUACAAAUACACAUGUAUGAUCAGUUGUGUCCCACACACAAGUUGUUAUGUUAAAUUUGAAUAUGAUGAUUGCAAAUUUACAAUAUAUUGCUUUCAUGAUUAAUGCCCAGCAAGUGAUACAAUUAUAUAAGUCACACCAUCUGUUUUUCGUCGUAUCGUUGUUACUCCGUGACGAGUUCGAUGUGAUUACGUGUUUGACAAUGGUUUUGUAUCCUGUUGAAUGAAACAAAUGGUUUAUAGUUUGUAAGAAUAUAUUCUUUGGUUACUUAGGGGUUGAAAGUUGGUAUUGAAACUAAGUAUGGGGGCAGAUGAGUAAUAUUAUUUCAUGUUCAACAUGGUUUUUUAGUCUAUACUUUAAACCUUGCCUUGUGGUGGUGGUCUAAGUUGAAGUCAAUCUUCUAAUCCUGAAAAUUGGAAUCUCUGUCCAAUUGUGAGUGUCAUCCUUGACCUUACGAAUCCAGUUAAAAAUUGUCAUUCUUCAGUUUGUUUGUUGUAGGCUAAUUAGAGAUGUCCACUUUGAUUACUAGCAGAAGCACACAAAGCGCUUCUCUUUUGGAUUGACGACGUACGCAUAAGCAUUCUCAAUCCGGCCAACAGCCAACCUUACUAGGCAUGUGCUUCCCUUCUAACAAGUAGACCUCAAUGGUGAAUCAUUGAAUAUCAACCAACCAUAACAAAGAUGAUAAUUUUUGGCACGUACACUUGCAUCAGUCGUAACACCAAUUGCAGCUCGUCCCAGUUACUUGGUUACCUUCACCGCAAAAGUGUGUACACGCAGAGUCCAAACACUUUUUGAGAAAUUUCAGCCCAUCAUGGUUCUGUAUGUGGUUGUGUGUAAAUUCUACAGGAACAAAUCACCGACUUAGGUUGUGUUUGGUUCAGCUUUUGUUACCAACUUCUAUUUUAAAAAGCUAAAAGCUAACCAAAGGGGUAAAUGUUUAAAGCAGCUUUUGAGAACAUGUAUUUUUUUUCUAAUGUAAAUUUCAAAUCUGGGGAUAUCUUAACUUUUCAGCUUCCAGCUUCAAGCUUUUUCACAGCAGCUUUUUCAGAAUCUGUAGCUCAAUCAAACACAGCCUUAGAUCUAGAUGCCCCUAGCUGCUAUAUUUACAUGUUUGCAUAUAAUCCCUUUUUGUAAAUGAUUAUCAACCCAGUGUGCUCAAAAGUAACACCUAGAAAAACCAUCGGCUCCAUGUGCAUUUGGCAAACAACCAAGUCAACACGCAUGAGCGUGUCUACCGCCAAAAUCAUCACCACUGCUUUUACUCGCCUGCUUCGGUUCGUAACAUGAGCUUCUAUCAGUAAAUGGUGGACAUGAAGCGAAACAGUAUCUCAUGGCCUACACUGUAACUUCCUGCAGGAAAUCUCAACAGGGCAAGCUGGUAGCAACUUCUUUCCCGAAACCUCACAAUCCUACACCCAAUGAUUAAGGGGCAGACCUUGCAUAUAUAUCAUCGUGAAAACAAGCUUGGUGCCCAUGGUGAUAUAUGUUGUUUACCUUUUUUGUACCGGAAACAAGCUUCUAAUUCCUUUGGUGUCUUGGUGAUAUAUAUUUAUCUAUAGUGAAAGUUGGCCAUGUGAUUAAAUGUCAGAAGCUGACCUAUUCCCAUCAUUGAUUGCGACUAUGGCCAUGUCAUGUGGUAGGUCAGUUUGAUUUAUCCGAAGAGUUGAGUUUGUCGGCAUAUAGUCUUAUGUAUCCUAUAUCAAAAUUUAAAAGGCAUCCAUAUUAAAGAGUAAACUGUAACUUAUCUCAUGGUUGUGUCAAGCUAUAUAGGGUGACACAACUCUCCCAUAUAUCAUACUUUACUAGAAGGGUUGGACGCGCUUUGCUGCGUUGUUGAUGUUUUUGAUUUUUUUAUAAUUUUUUUACUCAAUCUAGCUAUCUUAAAAUAUAAUAUUUAUUAGUUAUUUGAAAAGUCAAACCUCUUUAAAUAUCAUCAGAUUUUUGUAGAAAUAUAUCAGUAUUCAUAAUAUCAAUCGGAUUCCUAGAUUCAUCAUGAAAUAAAUUUUUAUAUUUUAUUAUUUAGCAUUGUGGAUGUCGAUAUUUUCGCCACUGAACUUUGUCGAAGUUUUAAAAAAACGAGUUUUUAAUAAGCUAAUACACCUUUGAUUUUAGAACGGAAAGAGUAUUAGUUUUUUCGUUAGUGCGGAAAACGAUGGGGUGUCUUUUAUUUUUUAUUCAUGUAAUGUGGUGUUCUGAUGGGGUUUCGUGGUGUGAUUUUGUGAUCUUCUAAUCAACUCAUAUUUAUGCGGGAUUUUUUUACGUCGGUGGCUGCAUGUACUAUAUUGGUUCUGCAUGAGAUGGUGCCUAGGAUUGAUAAGUUUUUAUAGAUCGGUUGCUUCUAACUAAUUUGAAAAAUUGUGGACACGGGCAAAAUCAUGAAAGAAAUCCAAUAUCUAAUUUCUCAAUGAAAUAAAAGAGCUUAAUGAAUUAAAAUAAUUGAGUGAAAGAUUAUUGACCCGGUUAAAAUCGGUAAUUUCAAAUUGAUGGCCUCAAAUAAAUGAGAACCCUCCUAUUUUAGGGAGCUUAGUGAUAUGGUAUAAAGAUACACAUUAAUACAGUAUAGUGUCCCUAAAACAACUACAGUACUGUCAGACCAAGGCACCUUGGUGAAACAGCAUGACGACGCCUGACGCCAAUUGAAAAAUGAUGGACGAACGGAACUGUUGAGCAGAUCGAAGCUGCAGCGCCGGCCAGCUCCCCUCCUCACCAAACCACAGAAAAUUGUAGCUAUUCCUCGACGACCACACAAAGGGCUUCCCUUUUGGAUUGACGACGCAGGCAUAAACAUUCUCAAUCUGGCCAACAACCAACCUAAUGUCCUAAUCACACCAUCACUUCGAGCUAUAAAUUGGUACGCAUUGGCCCAUUUUCAUACAUCGCAGCAAAGCGGAAGUAAUAUCAGCCAUCUCUCACUAGUGCUACCGCAAGCUCUGUCCAUGGCUUCCAACGCGAGCAUGUUGGUCAUGAUCAUGGUGUGCGCGCUCCUCCUCGCCGGCAGCACGUGCCACGCCGCCCGCAACCUGGCUGACACGACGCCGGUGGCUUCCGCCCCGGCUGCUAGCGCCGUCCCUGGCUUGCCGGCCGUGCCGACCUUGCCUGCCGCACCCACGGACACGGUCACCCUGAUGCCACCCAUGUCGUCGGUCACCCUGCCCACCGUGCCGCAGGUGACGCUGCCGCCCAUGCCUGCCAUCGUCGUGCCCAAGGCGGUGUUGCCGCCCAUGCCCAAGGUCACCCUCCCCACGGUGCCACAGGUGACGAUGGCGCCGAUGCCCGCCAUUGUCGUGCCCAAGGUGACCCUGCCGCCGUUGCCCUUCGUCCCGAGUGUGAAUGUGCCCAUGCCGUUCGCGGCCCCGGCCCCGUCAGCGUAGGCGCGCCCACGCGGCGGUGCUCUCGCCAUGUCCAGGACACGACGCACAUUUUCUUUCAUGCAAGCUCGGUGUUUCAUAUGCGACGUAUCAGCAAUUCUUGCCUUUUUUUAAGACUCCGUAGUAUAUGUACUGGUAGUGCUUGACUAUUGAGGGUUUUGUCGCACUGUAUGUAUUUCUUGAUCUUCUUAUAAAUACACAUUACUAUUUACGGUAUGCUAUCUUUAUCUUUUAUAUAACUCUAAAGAGUGAUAGUAAACUUGUCUCUUUCCUCUCAGCUUUUCCAAAACAGAAGAGAGGUUAUUUAGCUCUUUUUGAGCCUGCAACUAGGAGUUUGUUUAUGGAAAUUGAUUAGAAUCAGCCGGCUGAUUACAGCGCGGCGUAAACCUCCUCGGACGCGUGACACGUGUCCCGAUGGGGACCGGCACACCGCUUUUUCACCCGUUCUUAUCCACACGCGGGGCGUCUCAUCCACUCGUCAUUGACCGAGCAGCUCUCGGGUGGCCCAAAGCUCGGUGUUGCAAGGAAGCUUUUCACCGGAUGCUUCACCGGUGGCGGCCGGAGCACCCCGUCGUUUGUGGUAGACGCAUGCACACGAUGGUGAUACGGUGGAGCGGUCGUCGGCAGCUCCUGGUGCUGCGAUGUAGCGCUUGCGCGACAAUCUAGAGAGCUCGAUUAUGCAACGAUGCGUUACCGGCUGCGUCAAGAGCUGCGAUACAGCGUCCGUAGCUACAAUGAAGCUUCACCGGUGCUACAAUGAAGCUUCGCCGGACGUCAUCGAUGCUGCGUUGGAGCUUCGUCGGCCAACGCCGGUGCGGCAUGAAAGCUGCGAUGGAGCUUCGUCAGACGCGUCGGUGCUGCGUUAGAGCUUCGCUGGUGUUGUAUUGGAGCUUCGUCGGAUCCGGCGGUGCCGCAUUGAAGCUAAACUCGUGUUGCAUUGCAGCUACGUCGGGGCCAUCGGAGUUGCAUUGGAGCGUCAACCGUGCUAUAUUGGAGCUUCGCCCAGGCAACCGAAGCAUCGUCGGUGCUCUAAUGGAGCAUGCCAUCGUUGUAUCUCUUGCCAUGCUGCCGGGAACGGGGAUGCUAGAGACGCUGCGGGAUAAAAUAUCAGCAUGUUGGGAUGGAAGCGAAGACAUGUUCCAUGCGCGGUCAUGUCAUCAGGGAUCGAACGGAUCAAAUUGCGUUCUACGUGAGAAAAUCAACGGUAGGCUAGGCGGCUGAUCUUUCGUUAAGAUCAGCCGGUUGAUUUGUAGCACCGCCCUUUGUUUAUUUAUUACCCUGCACCAAAAGAAAUAGCGGAUUACAAAAAAAUAAUUAAGAAAUGCAAUUGCACCACAAAUAAGUGCAACUAUAUAUAGACAAUAAAAAACUGCAAGUUGUACAAUGUAGUGCAAUUACAACCAAAAACAAAAUAACACAAAAUAGUGCAAAUUGCUAAGCGAGUGUAAUUGCAAAAAAAUGCAAUUGCACAAAAUAAAAGUACAAAUACAUAAAAUGUGUAGUUGCACAAAAAUAUAAAUAAGAUUGCACCAUACAAAAGUGUAACUGCACAAAGAAUAAUAUGAACAAAUUAUUUUAAUUGCACAUAAAAUUUAGAGUUGCACUAAAAAACUGUAAAUGCAUAAUUUAUUUCCAUACCAAGAAGAGAAAAACAACGACAAAAGAAAGAAAAAUAUAAGUACAAAAAUAAAUAAAUAAAACCCAUUUGAAAACAAAAAUAAACACAAACAUAUUUUUCUUUUUUGUAGGAAAACAAACAUUCUUUUCUAGUACUUCCUUUGUUCCAAUUAGUUGACGUUUUCCGUUUGUCCUAAGUCAAACUUCUAAAUUUUCACCAAUUAUAAAGAAAAAUAUGCUAAUAUUUAGAAACAUAUUUCGUGAAAAAUCCAAUGAAACUAAUUCAAUGUUGUAGAUUUUAAUUUAUUUUUACUUAAACUUAGUGAAAUUAAAAAAUGACUAAAUAUAAAAAUAAAUACUUGAAACAAGUUGCCACGAAAGUAGUAGCAUACAAUUAACAGUUUAGCUUCAUGGUAAAGGCUUAGUCACCAAAAUAGCAAAUGGCGAUUCCAUAGGCCACUAAUGUGUUUCUUAACCAAUGGGUCUGCACGAAGGGCAUUUCUAAUUUGGCACCACAAGCGUCCGUUAAUGUGCAUUUUGCUAAGAGACGCCUGAAGCGCUGGAGUCACGGGCCGGCCAAUAUUUGAUCUUGUCCGAUAUGUAAACCUGCCUCUUUUUCCAUCUCUUCUUACUUCUUCUCUCUGUCUUCUUUUCUUCCUUUUCCCUUUUUUGUUUUUUGUUUCUGUUUAUUCUUUAUUAUUUUUUUAUUAUUUCUUCAUGGUUCGAAGAUUUUGUUUCAAAUAUAUGAACUUUUUUUAUUUUUCAAUGAACUGUUUUGAAAAUCAUGAACAUUUUUACUAAAUCAAUGAACUUUUUUUCAAACACUAUGAACAUUUUUUCAAUUUCGAUGGACUUUUUCCAGGUUUGAUGGAAGUUUUAUCUUACUAUCAAUUGGAUGAACUAAUUUUGUUAUUAAAUGAAUUUUUUAAUAUUUAUGAACAUUUAUCUAAUUUGAUAAACAUUUCUAAAUUUGAUGAACAUUUUUCAAAUAUGAUGAAUUUUCCCAAAUCUGAUGAACUCUUUUCAAGAAUGAUGUAUUUUUUUCCUUCAAAAUUUUAAACUUUUUCAAAAUCAAUGUACUACUUUUCAAACUCGAUGAACCUUUUUUAUAAAAGUAGAUGAACUCUUUGCCAAAGUCAAUGAACUUUUUUCAAAAGUGAUGAACUAUUUUUCAAACUCGAUGAACUUUUUCUGUCAAAUUCGAUGAAUUUUUUGCCCAAAUCAAUGAAUUUUUUUCAAAAGCAACGAACAUUGUUCGAAAAGGUAAAUUGAUUUAAACUCGUUCAGAAUGUUUUCCAAAAUCUUUGAACUUUUUUAUGUUUUGUGAACUUCUCUUCAAAAGUGAUGAACUAUUUCUCAAAAUCGAUGAAGAUUUUUAAUUCAUGAUUUCUUAAAAAUAUGUACUCCCUCCGUUCUUAAAUAUAAGUUUUUUUAGAGGUUUCACUAGAUGACUACAUACGGAUGUAUAUAGACAUAUUUUAAAAUAAAGAUCCACUCAUUUUGCUCUGUGUGUAAUCACCUAAUAAAAUCUUUAAAAGAGUUAUAUUUAGGAACGGAGGGAGCAAGUGAUAAAUAAAUAGCACGGGCAUAUUUGUUCUAACUAUUUGGCUGAAAUAAAAUCAGAAGUGUGCAAUGGCUGUAUCGGUUAACUAAGCUCGAAUAGGAUGUGACGGUGCGAGUUCUAUUCAUGAAGGUUGCACUUUUUGCGUUUUCUAGCGAAUUUUGUUUGCUCCGCACAGACUUCAUGGGCCGGCCCAACAAUCCGCUACAGCAGGCACCAGCUACCUGUUCGGGCGCUUAAGGCGCCGAACAGGAGCUCCCUGCACGAAGGGGCAGAUUAUAGAUGUAGAGGCCUGAUAGGUAUGCAUGCAUUUAAACCUGAGAAUAGUUCAUACUUGAACCAUAGUUGAACCAUACUCGUUCAUUUAUCUUUCAAAAUCAUACUUAAUCCAUAUCCAUUUAAUGUCAUUUUUAGCUCAACCAAAACCGAACCCAUUAUUUUUUUCACCCAAACCAAUUUAAACCCAAUACAUAAUCGUGAGUUUAAACCCAGUACAUAACUAUGGGUUUAUUUUAAUGUACAUAUGAUUACAUAAAUUGACAUGUUAAGAAGCAAAUGAGAUAGAAAAUGCAUAAAUGCAUCUACAACAGUUUAAAGACAAAGUUAUCCUUGAGAUACAGUCAGCCACACAACAAGAGGCAAAAAGAACAUGUCCAUGGCUGAAAAGCUCACUAACAAGUGUAUUAAAAUCAAAUUGCUUAGCGAAAGCACAAGCAAACACUUCCGAUUUUCAUGUGGUGUUUCCCCAUAAUACAUAAUUACAUAGUGCAUUACAACAUGUACGCGGAUCAAAGAUACUCGUUCUCGGUCGUUGUUGAUUAUUGCAUAUAACCAAUGCCUAGAAACCGGUUUAGAACCAUAGUUUAAAAUCGUUAAUAACCAAACCGUUUAAACCCAUAACCAACUAUUCCCAAGCUAUUUUUUCCACAUACCCAAACCAAAACCAAUCUAAAAAAGUCUCAGCCAAAUAAAACCUAAACGAAUCAAACCCAAAGUAAGAACGGAACCGUUACACCCGGUUUUUUAAUAACCAUUCUCAGGUUUCCAUGCAUUUCCGAUUGUUUUUUCUCAAACACAAAACAAGUAAUCCUAAAUACAAAACAACCACCUGUAUUUUAGCAAAUUUGUUUCUUCAUUCCUCAUUUUUUUAAAUAAAAAAACAAAAGAGUGCAAACCCAAAGGUAGAAAAAUUGAGUGAGUUUUGUGAAAGUUGAAUAUCUCUAUGGUUUUUACAUACCCCCUUGCUUAUUCCUCCUGGGGUUUUCUCAAAAUUAUAAAGCAACUCAACUCUAAGUGCAAACCCAUUAAAAACACAAUACAACUUAAAUAUAAGUGCAAAUCUGACAACAAGAAAAUUGACUACCUUUUAAUCAAAAUCAUUCGCGUGGGUUUUAGAAAACUUUCUUGCUUAUUCCUCUCAAGUCCCGACGAAGUUGUCCAUCGAUAAUGGAUGUGACAAGGAAUAUUUUGAAACUCCAAGUCUUCCUAAAGAAAUUGAGUAGGUAAGUGUUGGUUUGUGCAUGCGUGGUUGGCUUGCUUUUGUGAUGUUUGUCGCGCCAUUGUUGAGUGUGAGUGUAGUUUACUAAAGUUUACUACUAUUUACGACAUGUGCAUAUUCAUUUUUGAGUGCCGCAUGUGAUGAUGGCGCCGAUGCGAGCCAUUGUUGUGCCCAAGGUGACGCUGCCGCCGUCAUCCCGAGUGUGAAUGUGCCCAUGCUGUUCGCGGUGGUGCCCCCGUCAGGGUAGAGGCUGAAGCGGCCACGCGCCGGUGCUUUCGACAUAUGCACGAUAGGGCGCUACUCAUGUGAGGGUGGCACCAGGUCACUCCGUGGACACGACGCACAUUUUCUUACAUGCAAGCUCGGUUCCUUAUAUGCGAAGUUCUUUUUUUGCUAGUGGACUGUUGAGGGUUUUGUCCCACUGUAUGUAUUUUCUAAAUGCACAUAACUAUUUGCAGUAUGUUAUCUUUUCUUUUAUAUAACUCUAGUGAGUGAUGAUAAAAGAAGCACAAAUUUACAAAAUAUUUUGGUCACACAAAAAAAUUAAAGUUGUACUGAAAAUAUGCAGAUGCACACUUUAUUUCCAUAGCCCGUAGAAAAAAACAACUACAAAAGAAAGAAAAAUAUAGGUUCCAAAAAUAAAUAAAUAAACCCAUUCGAAAGCAAAAAAUAAACACAAAAAUUUAUUUACUUUUUUGGUAGGGGAAACAAAUAUUCUUUACUAAUACUUCCUCAUUCCAAAUAAUUUUAUGUUCUCGGUGUGCCCUAGGUCAAUUUUUUUAAAUUUUAAACAAUUAUAUAGAAAAAUAUGCUAAUAUUUAUAAAUGUAUAUCAUGAAAAAUCUAAUUAAACUAGAACUUGAUAUAUUUCUAUAUAAUCUUAGUGAAACUAAAAAAAUGACUUGGGAUAGAAAUAAUACUUCAAACAAGUAGCAAUGGAAGUAGUAGCUAACAAAUAAUAGUGUAGCUUGAUGGUAAAGUCUUAUUUCAUCUCCCAUGCUAUAGAUCGUAAGUGCGGGUUUUGACUUGGGAUAUAUAUAACACAUCUUAAAAUGUCAAAAUUCCAAACAAUAAUUCCCGUGUACAUCCAGACAUUCUAUGUUCGUACACAAAAUUUCACAAAGAAAUAACUUUUUGGCAUGUAAAAAAGAUAAAAAAUGGCUCCUAAAUAGUUACAAUCAAGCAUGAAAAAUUGUCUUUUUUAUAUAAGCUACAAAAAAUGUCCUUUUUCACCGAAACUUUGUGCAUGAACACAGAAUGUCCAGAUGUAAAUGUGAACCUUUUCCACUGUUUUUUUAACUUUAUAAAAAUAUGUAUUAGAGAAUAGAUGAAUCUGCGCCGAUGAGCCAAAGGAAAUUUCCCCAACUAUAGACAAUAACGGAGUUGCAAGUUGCACAAAGUAGUGCAAUUACACCAGAAAAGACAUUUACACAAUAUAGUGCAAAUUGCAUAAGAGAGUGUAAUCACAAAAAAUGUAAUUGCACAAAAUAAAAGUACAAUUACACAAAAGGUGAAGUUACGCAAAAAUAUAAAUAAGAUUGAACCAUGCAAGAGUGUAACUGCACAAAGAAGCACAAAUGCACAAAAUAUUUUAAUUGCACAAAAUAAUUAGAGUUUUACCCAAAAUUUACAAAUGCACAAUUUAAUUCCAUACCCGGUAGAAAAAAAAGAAGUACAAUAGAGAGAAAACUAUAGGUUCCAAAAAAAAUUAAACCCAUUUGAAAAAAAGAAACAAAGAUUAUUUACUUUUUUGGUAGAGAAAACAAACAUUCUUUACUAGUAUUUCCUCUAUUCGAAUUAGUUGAUGUUAUCAGUUUAUCCUAAGUAACAACUUUUACAUUUUAAUCGAUUAUACAUAAAAUAUGGUAAUAUUUAAAAAUGUAUUUCAUGAAAAAUCUAAUUGAACUAAUUUGAAGUUGUAGAUUUUAAUGGAACUAAUUUAUUUGUGUUCUACUACUUCCACUCCAAUUUAUUUGAAUUAUUAUUUUUAUCCUAUGUCAUUUCUUAGAGUCACUAAGUUUACACAAAAAUAGUUCCACUAGAUUUUUUAUGGACAGGAUACGGGAGCCGGUCAUCCAAUCGUGUCCCUUGAAUAGGCAUGAAACUUGGAGAAGAGAGGUGGGCCAGACAUGCCUAAGGACAAAGCACAUGGACUAUGAGGAAAUGUGGUCCAACUACGGUGGCCCAAGCAGACCUCUGCAUGAUGUACGAACUCCCGCAAAGCACUGAUACGUCUCCAACGUAUCUAUAAUUUUUGAUUGUUUCAUGUUAUUGUAUUAUCAAUCUUGAACGAUUUAUACGCUAUUUUGUAUUAUUUUUAGGAACUAACCUAUUAACCCAAUGCCAAGUGUUAGUUAUUGCUUUCUGCGCUUUUUUGACUCUCACGGAACCAGUACCAAAUGGAGUCCAAACGCUACAAAACUUUUUGAUGAUUUUGGAUGGACCAAAAUAAGACCUGGAAGCUUUGGAGGAAGACUAGACGACACACGAGGAGACGACAAGGGAACAUAGAACGCCUAGGGGGUAGGCGCACCAUCUUGCUUUGUGGGCCCCUCAUAGCUCGUGUGACCUAAUUCCACCCUUUUAAAUUCUCAUAUGUCGGGAAACCAAUAGAAAGCCACCCUAGACAUUUUUUUUCCACCGCCGCAAGCUUCUAUUCCGACGAGAGGCCAUCUGGAGACUUUUUUUGGUGCCCGGUCGGAGGGGAAUCGAUCAUGGAGGCCAUCUACAUCAACCUUGCUGCCUCCAUGAUGUUGUCUGAGUAGUUCACCAUAAAUCUACGGGGUCCUUAGCUAGUACCUAGAUGGCUUCUCGUCUCUAUUUGAUCUUCAAUACAAAGUUCAUCGUGUUCUAUUCGAUAUAGUCUUCUUUGUUGUGUGUUUGUUGGGAUCCGAUGAAUUGUGGGUUUAUGAUUAGAUUAUUCAUGAAUAUUAAUUUAGUCUUCUCUAAAUUCUUUUGUGCAUGAGUAUUAAAUCUUUGUAUUUCUCUCCGAUCUAUCGAUUUGGUUUGGGCAACUACAUUGAUUUAUCUUCAGUGGGAGUGGUUCGUUGUGAUGGGUUCAAUCUUGUGAUGCUCAAUCCUAGUGACAGAAAGGGACAUGACACAUAUUCGUAAUGAUGUCAUUAAGGACAAAAUGAUGGGGUUUAUGCAUAUUUCUUGACUUUACUUUGUCUACAUCAUGUCAUCUUGUUCCAAACAUUACUCUGUUUCAUACUUAAUACUCUAGAUGGAUGUCGUAUAGAGGUCAAUAAGUGGAGUAAUAAUAGUAGAUGCAGGAAGGAGUCGUUCUACUUUCUUAUGGAUGUGAUGCUUAUAUCAUGAUCAUUCCCUUGAAUAAGAUGUAAUAACCAUGCGUUAUUCUGUCAGUUGCCCAAGAGUAAUUUGUUUAUCCAUCAUAUGCUAUUUUCAAGAGAGAAGCCUCUAGCGAAAACUAUGGCCCCAGGGUCUAUUCAAAUUAUAUUACAAAAACUACAAAAAAUAUUGAUGUCAUUUAUUUUCUGUUAUUUAAUUUUAUAUUUAUAUUGUCUAUCUAUCAAUGUUUAAUCCUUGCAAGUAACAAGUUCAAGGGGCUUGACAACCCUCUUGCCCGUGUUGGGUUCAAACGUUUGAUUAUGUGUGUGUAGGUGUUGGCGAUGAGGGUUUGCAUGAUUCUCCUAUUGGUUCAAUAACCUUGGUUCUUACCGAAAGAAAUACUUAUUUGUACUAUGCUGCAUCUUCUCUCCUCUUCGGAAAAAAUUCCAACACAGAUUACAAAUAGCAAGCAUUCCCUGUCCCUAAAAUUACUUCCGGUUGUGGGGGAACCAAGCAUGUGGGCUGGACCACGAAGGUUUAAGAGUCUCCAUUGCAAGGCAAAACUUGAUAAAAGUGGUCCGGACACCAUGGUCGGGACAUAUACGAAAGCUUUGAGGGUCCGAUUUGGAGAUGCCCCUUACUCACCAAAGUGGAAGUUGGCGGUUUCAAAGGCCAAUAAUGUUUUUCUUAGAGACUCAAAGCCCAAUCUGUUUGCACGAAGUUUCAGAUGUAGAAUUAUAGGCCCAAUAAGUUUGCACAUUUUUGCAGUUAUUUUUCUCAAAACACAAAAGAACGAAAAUAUAAGUGAAAAACAUCCACCUCAAUUUUGGCAAAUCCGCUUGCUCAUUCCUCAUUUUCUUUAUCAAAAACACAAAACAACUUGAAUAAAUGCAAACCCAAAGGUAGGAAAAUUGACUGAAUUUUGUGAAAGUUAAAUAUCUCUAGGGUUUUUGCAAGCCCCCUUGCUUAUUCGUCAUGGGGUUUUCUCAAAAUUAUAAAAGCAACUCAACUUUAAGUACAAAUCUACUAAAACCACAAAACAACUUAAAUAUAAAGUUCAAAUCUGACGACAGGAAAAUUAACUACCUUUUAUCCGAAAUCAUUCACGUGGGUUUUAACAAACCUUCUUAGCUUGUUCCUCCUGAUCCUGGACAAGUUAUCCUCCUCGACGAUGGAUGCGAGAACGAAUUUUCUUAACUACAAGUCUUCCUAAAGAAAACAAGUGGGCCAUGGUUGGUUUGUGCAUGACGAGUCGACCAUGGGUGUUGCUCCAUGGUAUCAUUGCUUUAUGGAGUUUAGCUUCAUUUGUAUCCAUUUUACCUGGUUUUCCGUGAUAAACUAAAAAAAUUAAUCGAUAGAACGGGUGAAAUAAUUACCUCGUGUGUGGAAAAACAAACAUAGAAAACAGAGUGAAAAACGGAGGGUUUGACCGUAUAGUCCAAGCAGGUAUGAUACGAUCGAUCAGUGACAUGCAACCAAACGAAGGGUUUGACCAUAUAGUCCAAGUCAGGUGCACUUUUGCGAGAAGUGUGACUGAGCCAGUUGAGAAAUGAUGGCACGAAUAAUCAAGACAGUUCAGCAAAUCGAAUCUGCAGCGCCGGCCAGCUCUUCAUCUAAACCCAGAAAAUCCUAGCUACCGCCUACAUACCUCGACCAUGCAGAGCGCAUCCCUUUUUGGAUUGACAACGCACGCACGCACAGACUCUCAAUCCGGCCAACAACCGACCUAAUCACACGAUCACUUUGUACUGUAUAAGUUUCCAGCCAUUGACACAUGUUCAUACAUCGCAGCAGCGCAGAAGCAAACAUCUUGCAGUCACCUGCUAGGCUGCUACACACGAGCGAGAAACCCAUCUCUCAACAGUAACUUCGCUAGUUCUAGCUAUAUGGCUUCCACCGCGAGCAUGCUGGCCGUGGUCAUGGCGUGCGCGAUCCUCCUCGCCGGCAGAACGUGCAACGCCGCCCGCAACCUGGCCGACACGACGUCCGCGGCCGCCGCUCCGGCUGCAAGCACCGUCCCUGGCCUGCCGGCCAUGCCAACCUUGCCCGGCGUGCCCACGGACACGGUGACCCUGAUGCCGCCCAUGCCGUCGGUCACCCUUCCCACCGUGCCGCAGGUGACGCUGCCGCCCAUGCCGGCCAUCGUCGUGCCCACGGCGGUCCUGCCGCCCAUGCCCAAGGUCACCCUCCCCACCGUGCCGCAGGUGACGAUGGCGCCGAUGCCCGCGAUUGUCGUGCCCAAGGUGACGCUGCCGCCGUUGCCGUUCGUCCCGAGUGUGAAUGUGCCCAUGCCGUUCGCGGCGCCGCCCCCUUCAGCGUAGAGGCUGAGGAGGCCACGCCCGGUGCUCUCGCCAUAUGAACGAUAGGGCGCUAUUCAUGUGAGGGUCGACACGACGCACAUUUUCUUACAUGCAAACUCGGUUCUUUAUAUGCGAUGUAUCAGCAACUAUUUCCAUUUUUUUAAGACUCAGCAGUAUGUACUGGUAGUGUUUGACUGUUGAGGUCUUUUUUUUGCUAGUGGACUGUUGAGGGUUUUGUCCCACUGUAUGUAUUUCUUGGUCUUCCAAAAUACACAGUACUAUUUGCGGUAUGUUAUCUUUGUCUUGUAUAUAACUCUAAUGAGUGAUGAUAAAAGAAGCACAAAUGCACAAAAUAUUCUAGUCACACAAAAAAAAUUAGAGUUGUACCCAAAAUCUGCAGAUGCACAAUUUAUUUCCAUACCCCGUAGACAAAAACAAUAACAAAAGAAAGAAAAAUAUAGGUUCCAAAAAUAAAUAAAUAAACCCAUUUGAAACCAAAAUUAAACACAAAAAAAUAUUUACUUUUUUGGUAGGGGAAACAAGCAUUCUUUACUAAUACUUCCUCAUUCCAAAUAAUUUGAUGUUCUCGGUGUGCCCUAGGUCAAUUUUUUAAUUUUUAAACAAUUAUAUAGAAAAAUAUGCUAAUAUUUAUAAAUGUAUUUCAUGUAACUAGAACUUGAUAUAUUUAUAUAUAAACUUAGUGAAACUAAAAAAAUGACAUGGGAUAGAAAUAAUACUUCAAACAAGUAGCAAUGGAAGUAGUAGCAAAGAAAUAAUAGUGUAGCUUGAUGGUAAACUCUUAUGAUAUCUCCCACACUAUAGACUGUAAGUGCGGGUUUUGACUUGGGAUAUAUAUAACACAUCUUAAAAUGUCAAAAAAUUCCAAACAAUAAUUUCCAGUGUACAUCCAGACAUUCUAUGUUCUCACACAGAAUUUCACAAAGAAAGAACAUUUUUUGGCAUGUAUAAAAAAGAUUAAAAAAUGGCUCCUAAAUAGGUAUAAUCAAGCAUAAAAAAUUGUCUUUUUUACACAAGACACAAAAUAUGUCCUCUUUCACCGAAACUUUGUGCACGAACACAUAAUGUCCAGAUGUAAACGUGAGCUUAUUUCACUAUUUUUUGAACUUUCUAAAAUAUGUAUUAGACAAUAGAUGAAUGUCCAGCGAUGAGCCAAAGGGAAUUUCCCCAACUAUAGACAAUAACAAAGUUGCAAGUUGCACAAAGUAGUGCAAUUACACCACAGAAAAGACAUUUACACAAUAUAGUGCAAAUUGCAUAAGAGAGUGUAAUUACAAAAAAAUGUAAUUGCACAAAAUAAAAGUACAGUUACACAAAAGGUGAAGUUACGCAAAAAUAUAAAUAAGAUUGAACCAUACAAGAGUGUAACUGCACAAAGAAGCACAAAUGCACAAAAUAUUCGAGUUGCACAAAAUAAUUAGAGUUGUACCAAAAAUUUGUAAAUGCAUAAUUUAUUUCCAUACCCGGUAGAAAAAAACAAGUACAAAAGAGAGAAAAAUAUAGGUUCUAAAAAUAAAUAAAUUAAAACCAUUUGAAAAGAAAAAUAAAACAAAGAUAACUGACAGUGGCCCAAUUGGACCUCUGCAUUGUGUUCAAACUCCCGCAAAACACAUACAUCUCCAACGUAUCUAUAAUUUUUGAUUGUUUCAUGUUAUUAUAUUAUCAAUCUUGGAUGAUUUAUACACUAUUUUAUAUUAUUUUUAGGAACUAACCUAUUAACCCGGUGCCAAGUGUUAGUUGUCGUUUUCUGCGUGUUUUUGAAUUUUCAGGAAACCAGUACCAAAUGGAGUCCAAACACUACGAAUUUUUUUGAUGAUUUUGGGUGGACCAAAAUAAGACCUGGAAGCUUCGGAGGAAGACUAGACGACACACGAGGAGACGGCAAGGGAACAUAGAACGCCCAGGGGGGGUAGGCGCACCCUCUUGCUUUGUGGGCCCCUCGUAGCUCGGUCUUACCUAAUUCCACCCGUAUACAUUCUCAUAUGUCAGGAAACCAAUAGAAAGCCACCCAAGACAUUUUUUCCACCGCCGCAAGCUUCUGUUCUGAUGAGAGGCCAUCUGGAGACCUUUUUCGGUGCUCUGUCGGAGGGGGAAUGGAUCACGGAGGCCAUCUACAUCAACCCUGCUGCCUCCAUGAUGUUGUGUGAGUAGUCCAUCAUAAACCUACGGGGUCCAUAGUUAGUACCUAGAUAGCUUCUCAUCUCUAUUUGAUCUUCAAUACAAAGUUCAUCGUGAUUCCCACGGUGAUCUAUUAUAUAUAGUGUUCUUUGUCGUGUGUUUGUUGGGAUCCGAUUAAUUGUGGGUUUAUGAUCAGAUUAUUCAUGAAUAUUAAUUGAGUCUUCUCUAAAUUCUUUUGUGCAUGUGUAUUAGAGCUUCGUAUUUCUCUUCGAUCUAUCGAUUUGGUUUGGGCAACUAGAUUGAUUUAUCUUGAGUGGGAGUGGUGCAUUGUGAUGGGUCCAAUCUUGUGAUGCUUAAUCCCAGUUACAGAAAGGGACAUGACACAUAUUUGUAAUUAUGUCAUUAAGGAUAAAACGAUGGGGGUUUAUGCAUAUUGCUUGAGUUUACAUUGUCUACAUGAUGUCAUCUUGCUUCAAACAUUACUCUGUUCCAUACGUAAUACUCUAGAUGGAUGCCAGAUAGAGGUCAAUGAGCGGAGUAAUAAUAGUAGAUGCAAGAAGGAGUCGGUCUACCUGACUUAUAUCAUGAUCAUUACCUUGAAUAAGAUGUCAUAACUAUGCGCUAUUCUGUUAAUUGCCCAACAGUAAUUUGUUUAUCAACCAUAUGCAAUUUUCAAGAGAGAAGCUUCUAGCGAAAACUAUGGCCCUAGGAUCUACUCAAAUUAUAUUACAAAAACUACCAAAAAUAUUGUUGUCAUUUAUUUUUUGUUAUUUAAUUUUAUAUUUAUAUUAUCUAUUUAUCAACUUUUAAUCCUUGCAAGUAACAAGUUCAAGGGGUUUGACAACCCUCUUGCCCGCGUUGGGUUCAAACGUUUGAUUCUGUGUCUGUAGGGGUUGGCGACGAGGGUUUGCGUGAUUCUCCUAUUGGUUCGAUAACCUUGGUUCUCACUAAGAGAAAUACUUAUCUCUACUGUGUUGCAUCUUCUCUCCUUUUAGGAGAAAAUCCCAACACAGUUUACAAAUAGCAAGCAUUCUCUCUCCCUGAAGUUACUUCUGGUUGUGGGGAAACCAAACAUGCGGGCUGGACCACGAAGGUUUAAUUAAGAGUCUCCAUUGCAAGGCAAAACUUGAUAAAAGUGGUCCGGACACCAUGGUCUGGACAUAUACGAAAGCUUUGAGGGUCCGAUUUGCAGAUGCCCUUACUCACCAAAGUAGAAGUUGGCGGUUUCAAAGGCCAAUAAUGUUUUUCUUAGAGACUCAAAGCCCAAUCUGUUUGCACAAAGUUUCAGAUAUAGAACUAUAGACCCAAUAAGUUUGCACAUUUUUCCAGUUAUUUCUCAAAACACAAAAUAACUAAAAUCUAAGUGGAAAAUAGCCACCUCGAUUUUGGCAAAUCCGCUUGCUCAUUCCUCAUUUUCUUUAUCAAAAAUACAAAACAACUCGAAUAAAUGCAAACCCAAAGGUAGGAAAAUUGACUGAAUUUUGUGGAAGUUAAAUAUCUCUAGGGUUUUUGGAAACCCGCUUGCUUAUUCGUCAUGGGGUUUUCUCAAAAUUAUAAAGCAACUCAACUUCAAGUGCAAAUCCACUAAAACCACAAAACAACUUAAAUAUAAGUUCAAACCUGAUGACAGGAAAAUUAACUACCUUUUAUCCGAAAUCAUUCGCGUGGGUUUUAACAAACCUUCUUGCUUGUUCCUCCUGAUCCUGGACAAGUUAUCCCCCUCGACGAUGGAUGCGAGAACGAAAAUUUUGAAACUCCAAGUCUUAAAGAAAACAAGUGGGCCAUGGUUGGUUUGUACAUGACGUGUCGACAAUGGGUGUCGCUCCGUGGUAUCAUUGCUUUAUGGAGUUUAGCUUCAUUUGUAUCCAUUUUACCCGGUUUUCUGUGAUAAACUGAAAAAGAAUUAAUGGAUAGAACGGGUGAAAUAAUUACCUCGUGUGUGGAACAAAAAAAAUAGAGUAAAAAACGGAGGGUUUGACCGUAUAGUCCAAGCAGGUAUGAUACGAUCGAUCAGUGACAUGCAACCAAACGGAGGGUUUGACCAUAUAGUCCAAGCAGGUGCACUUUCGCGAGAACGUGUGAAAUUUUGUGUUUUAACCUUUUAUGCAAAGAAAAUAUAAUUCUGACCUACGUUUGAAAAUAUAUGCAAAACUAACCUCUUUUCGUGACGCCAACCUCCCUCGCAUCUGGGUUGCACUAGAGACGUCAGGGACGUCUGGUACGGGGUGGCAUGACCGGCUGACCCGCUAAGUUUUUAACGUGGCAUGGUACCAAAUGCCAGAGACCCUGGCGUCUGUUACCGAAUGCCGAAGGCCUUGGCGUCCGGAUGACGUGGCACACAUUAUUUUAAAAAAAAAUGUGUGAUCUGCUACGAAACGCUAGGGUCCUUGAUGUCUGGUCCUGGACCAGACGCCAGGGACCCUGGCGUUCGGUACCAUGCCACGUCAGAAACUCAGCACGUCAGCUGGUCAUGUAGGCCCGUAUCAGACGCCAUGGUCACUGGCGUCUUCAGUGCAACCCAGACGACAGGGACGUUGGCGGGUCAGAUUUGAAAUUAUUUUUAAACGAAGAUCAAAACUGUAUUUUCUUUGUCCAAAAGGUUAAAACACAAAAUUUUGGCAGGCAGUUGAGCAAAUCGAAGCUGCAGCGCCGGCCAGCUCUUCAUCUAAACCCAGAAAAUCCUAGCUACCGCCUACGUACCUCGACCAUGCAAAGCGCAUCCCUUUUUGGAUUGACACCGCACGCACAGACUCUCAAUCUGGCCAACAACCGACCUAAUCACACAAUCACUUUGUACUGUAUAAGUUUCCAGCCAUUGACACAUGUUCAUACAUCGCAAUAGAGCAGAAGCAACAUCUUGCAGUCACCUGCUACACACGAGCGAGAAACCCAUCUCUCAACAAUACCUUCGCUAGUUCUACCUAUAUGGCUUCCACCGCGAGCAUGUUGGCCGUGGUCAUGGCGUGCGCGAUCCUCCUCGCCGGCAGCACGUGCCACGCCGCCCGCAACCUGGCCGACACGACGUCCGCGGCCGCCGCUCCGGCUGCAAGCACCGUCCCUGGCCUGCCGGCCAUGCCAACCUUGCCCGGCGUGCCCACGGACACGGUGACCCUGAUGCCACCCAUGCCGUCGGUCACCCUGCCCACCGUGCCGCAGGUGACGCUGCCGCCCAUGCCGGCCAUCGUCGUGCCCAGGGCGGUCCUGGCCCACGGCGGUCCUGCCGCCCAUGCCCAAGGUCACCCUCCCCACCGUGCCGCAGGUGACGAUGGCGCCGAUGCCCGCGAUUGUCGUGCCCAAGGUGACGCUGCCGCCGUUGCCGUUCGUCCCGAGUGUGAACGUGCCCAUGCCGUUCGCGGCUCCACCACCGUCAGCGUAGGCGCGUCCACCCGGUGGUGCUUUCGCCCUGUCCACGAUAGGGUGCCGUUCAUGUGAGAUUGGCGCCAGAUUACUACUCACUACGUGGGCACGACGUACACUUUCUUACAUGCAAGCUCCGUGUUUUAUAUGCGAUGUUUAAAUAGUUCUACCUUUUCUUCACGUCUCAGUAUAUGUAUUCUUAGUGUUUUACUGUUGAGGAUUGUCCAAUUGUAUGUAUAUUCGUGUUUUUCCAACAUACAAAUUUCUAUUUACGGUAAGUUAUACUUGUUUUGCAUAAGUGAGUUAUAAGGGGCGAUGGUACAUCAUCUCUUCCUUCCGAGGUGCUAAAUUCAACUGUAAUCC
rnacentral:lncRNA from 1 species